rnacentral:misc_RNA from 1 species
GUCCGAUAAUACGUUAUUAGAUAACUAGAGUCAAGUGAGGAAUGAGAGCUGUAAGGGAAACGAUUUUCGGGGUGUCAGCUAUCACCGGAGUAUACUUCUUCAUCUUUUGGGAUAUCUUGAAUAUUCCUAUCAAUGACUUUGAUUAGGAGUCUCGAGAGAGACUGAGCGCGAAACCUCCUCUGAGUAGUCUUUGCGAGGUAGGUCUUUCGUUUCCAAUAGAAGGCCGUCAUCCUUUUGUCGUCAGUUAGCCACACCUAACCAAGAUGUUGUUCACUACUUCGUAACCUCGCGGCUACUUCAAAAGCCUCUUAUUCCUAACACGGGUAUAAUAGACUAUAGUUCGUCUAUCUCCAACUUCCGGUACACUCUGUGGACAGUCUAUCGG